rnacentral:rRNA from 1 species
CGGGGGGGGGGGUUCCUAAUACAUGCAAGUCGAGCGGACAGAUGGGAGCUUGCUCCCUGAUGUUAGCGGCGGACGGGUGAGUAACACGUGGGUAACCUGCCUGUAAGACUGGGAUAACUCCGGGAAACCGGGGCUAAUACCGGAUGCUUGUUUGAACCGCAUGGUUCAAACAUAAAAGGUGGCUUCGGCUACCACUUACAGAUGGACCCGCGGCGCAUUAGCUAGUUGGUGAGGUAACGGCUCACCAAGGCAACGAUGCGUAGCCGACCUGAGAGGGUGAUCGGCCACACUGGGACUGAGACACGGCCCAGACUCCUACGGGAGGCAGCAGUAGGGAAUCUUCCGCAAUGGACGAAAGUCUGACGGAGCAACGCCGCGUGAGUGAUGAAGGUUUUCGGAUCGUAAAGCUCUGUUGUUAGGGAAGAACAAGUACCGUUCGAAUAGGGCGGUACCUUGACGGUACCUAACCAGAAAGCCACGGCUAACUACGUGCCAGCAGCCGCGGUAAUACGUAGGUGGCAAGCGUUGUCCGGAAUUAUUGGGCGUAAAGGGCUCGCAGGCGGUUUCUUAAGUCUGAUGUGAAAGCCCCCGGCUCAACCGGGGAGGGUCAUUGGAAACUGGGGAACUUGAGUGCAGAAGAGGAGAGUGGAAUUCCACGUGUAGCGGUGAAAUGCGUAGAGAUGUGGAGGAACACCAGUGGCGAAGGCGACUCUCUGGUCUGUAACUGACGCUGAGGAGCGAAAGCGUGGGGAGCGAACAGGAUUAGAUACCCUGGUAGUCCACGCCGUAAACGAUGAGUGCUAAGUGUUAGGGGGUUUCCGCCCCUUAGUGCUGCAGCUA